GCCUUCGUAGUGUAGUGGUCAGCACGCUCGGUGCAUAUUCGAAAGGUCCGUGGUUCGAGUCCCGCCGAUAGCA
rnacentral:tRNA from 1 species